CACCCUCCUCGGCCUCCCAAAGUGCUGGGAUUACAGGCGUCAGCCAUCGCACCUGGCCACCAGAAUCAUUUUAAUUGACUGAUCAUGUCAGAAACGAAACAACCUGGAAAAAUGAGCAAAAGCCUUCAAUGUGUUCCUCUCUCUGCCUUGGUGAUCCGGAGGUCGUGCUGCGGAUUAUAUACUCCCAGGCGAGAGCAGCGUGCUAAUGGUUCCUUCUCUUUUCGAUAUGCACCCGCGGUGGACUUACAGAAGCUUUAUUUUCAACACCUAAGCAGUCACGCUUCCUCCAGCCUAAGGCUUUGUGCUAUUUUUGAAUGCUUUCCUCUUCCGACACUGCGGCUCCCUCCUGAGCCCGUAGCUGCAGCGCGGUGGGUGAUGGGCGCGGGCGCUGGGUGCCGCUCGCCACGCUGGAUGGACCAGUCCGGGGAAAGUGCUCGGGGGAAGCCAAGGGCCCCGCCUGCAAUCUCUGGCCCGGGGCUCUGCGCACUCCAAGGGCCAGGAAACCGCAGGCGGGCCCAGCUCCCCGGCUGGGUCUGCCCACGUGGGCGCGGGAAGCGCGGGGUAUGCGGGCCGCCUGGCCAAGCUGCACUUGCCCGGAACCGGCGCAGACACAGGCCCUUAGCGCCGCGGGAACUCGGCCAGGCCCACGGCGCGCUGCGCCGCAGGGGCACCCCCGCAGGGCGCCCCCCGACCGCGCGACGCUCCGCAGGGGCGCCACAGCCCUGCGGGUCACAGAGAUGCUACCCCCACGCCCAGGAGGGCCGAGAGCUGCGGGGGCCUCGCAAACGCCAGCAGUCCCCGCCUGGCCCCAGCCAUUUUACGGCAGUGGGCCCCGCCCCCGCGCGCCACCGGGGGCGGGAAGGAGGUGUGCGGCACAAGCCAGCCAAUCCGCGCCACCAUCUCCAGCCCUGCACCCUGUCAUUGGCCGAGAACCGGACGGCGCGAUGCGGCCGUAAGGCGUGCCCGAGUGUCGUGAGGCGGGCCCACGGCUAGGGCGCCCUCGGCCGGCGCCGCGGCUUUGGUCGGAGUGUCAGGCUCCGGGAAGCGGCAGCAGCGGCACGGAGGACUUGGGGUCUGGUGUCCGGAACAACCAUGGCUGGCGCGCUGGUGCGGAAAGCGGCCGACUAUGUCCGAAGCAAGGAUUUCCGGGACUACCUCAUGAGUACGCCCCACCUAUGAAAGAAGACACAUAAGACACCUGGUGGUAGAGAAACUGGUUUAUAUGCCCCUCUUAGAAUAACUCUUCAGGCUCUGUUACAGCCCUGGGUUCAUGCAUGAUAAAGUAGACAGCAAGACCACCAUACAGUGCAGAGGAGUGGAAAGAGAAUAA